GCCCUCCGGGGGCCGGCCGCAGCCCCAUUUCGCUGACGGCCGGAAGGAGCUGUUAUCGGCGGGUCUUGGCGGAAGUGGGCGAGCGUCCCCGGGUUCCCCUGUUUAGUUGUGUGCGGCGGUUCCGAGGAACUUGGGUUCCCAGGUGGGGCAGACGUGCCCCCGGCGGCGCUUCGGGGCCGAGGCUGGGGAUGGCCGCGAAACCCCGCGUAAGCCAGGUCGCUCUCGCCGUGUCCCUGCGCUUCGGCGCUUACGUUCACGGGCCGCCGGGGGCCGCGCCGGCGUGUCCCGAAAGUAAUAGGCGGGAUGGCGACCGAGGCUCCGAGCGCGUGCAGCCGGCCGGCCAGUGGUGCGGUUCUGAGCCGCGCGCACGAGGAGCUGCGUCCCGUGGCGCAGCAGCUGGGGCUCGCGAGGGGCUUCCUAAUCGUCGGACUGGGGAUGGCCGCGCCGAAUAUGCGACUUGACUCCACUUGGGAACAGGCGGCGCGGUGACUAGUUGUUAAACGACUGGACCUCUCGGGUCCCCCGAAGGCCAAACCGAGGCCUGCGAAGGACGACCUCACCGAAUAAACCGAAAAGGCUUUCUUUCCGUGCGACUUUAUAACCCGACUUGGGCUCCUGGGUCUGGAAACAGAAAAGCCAAGGUUGCAACGGCAGGAUCCACGACCCACCUCUGAGCUCAGGAAGCCGCCGCCCCCUGUCCAGUUCAGCCUCACUGCUUCUUGAGGAACUCACCUGUGCCUCUGCCAGGGCCACCCGAGGGAGGCCUUGAGAAGACUAGAUUUUUUUGCUUCGUGUUGGCUUUACAGUCCCAACCAGCUCAGUUCCAACAUGAGAAGUGCAGUGUCCGAGCCCACUGGCCGAGUGAAAAUACACCUGAACAGCCAGUGCGUGCCGUCCUGUGCUUUCCCUCUUCAAAAGGCAAUGUCUGUGACCCAAUUUUCAUUUACUUUUUUAGCAAAACGACUUUUUUAAAAAAUUACUUCUAGGGCUGAAAUUACAAAGAUAUGACACAGCUUUCUUUCUCUCUGGAGCAGGGUGAAGGAGCUGGCCCUGCAUCUGCUUUUGUAAAUAAAGUUUUAUUGAAA
rnacentral:lncRNA from 1 species